UACGAAGGGGGCUGGCGUUGCUCGGAAUCACUGGGCGUAAAGCGCACGUAGGCGGAUUGCUAAGUCAGGGGUGAAAUCCUGGAGCUCAAUUCCAGAACUGCCUUUGAUACUGGCGAUCUCGAGUCCGGGAGAGGUGAGUGGAACUGCGAGUGUAGAGGUGAAAUUCGUAGAUAUUCGCAAGAACACCAGUGGCGAAGGCGGCUCACUGGCCCGGUACUGACGCUGAGGUGCGAAAGCGUGGGGAGCAAACAGG
rnacentral:rRNA from 1 species